CUCACAUUCUAAACACAGGCGCCAAACUCUCUACAUGCAGGACCUGCUAAAAGAACAUCCCCAUGGAAUCUAGGCCAUCACCACCUCCAGGUGAUAGAACUUAGCUUCAUCUCUGGUGGAGGGCAGAGCCUCAAGCAAUGUGAACCCAAUGAAGAAAUUAUUUCCAGCCCUGGAUCGUCCUCUCCAAGGUUGCUGAAGCCAACCAGAGGCACACAUGGAGAUUCCCAAGCAAGUCACAAGGACGGGAGCAGAAUCAGACUCCCUCAGCACAUGGCCGAGAGAGUGUGCAGGGGCAGGUGUGGGAGCCCUGAGCUCCUGUCUGGCUCUGCUUCUGUUCAUCUGUGCCUCUGUACCAUCACUGCUCCACUCUGUCAUUCCAUCACCUCCGAAGGGGGUCUGCCAGGUCAUCUGCUGCUUCACAGUUGCCUUCCCACUAGAAAAUCCCAUGAUUCCAAUGGCACGUCCCCCAGCGUCUAGUGGAGCUGCCUGCAUUUGAAAGGACAAUUUCCAGGGAACAAGGGAGGCAACUAUAGGGGCUCUAGCCCCUGGCACCGCAUGGGGACUUGGUGUCAUAGCAUUUGCCAGCCUGCUGCAGCUACCCCCAGACACGAGGGAAGGCAGCAAGCAGAAAAAUUGCCUUCACAACCUCAAGAAGCGGGUAUAUUGGCACAACAGCUUCUGUGGUUGAAGAAAAAAAUGAACAGGUUUAAAGCAAGCACAUCAAGCUGUUUUUGAGUGCACUUAAUGGCUGCCCAGACGUGCAAGCCCCUUUUAAAAGCAGAGUGACUUCACUAAUAAUAGAGCUCCGUUAUUCUUUAUCACUGACUCUCAACUCUGCUCCACAUUUCCCCUUGGUGUUCUGCUCACUAACCUGUUUAUCCUCUCUUAGAAACCUACACUUAAAGGCAACAUAAAAUACAGCAUGACACUAA